rnacentral:lncRNA from 1 species
UAUGUCAAGGGCACCAGCUAAAUUAUUUCUUAACCACCUGACUUAUAAGAGACUUCAACUCUGGCCCUCCGACACAAGCAAGAGCAUUUCAGGCAGCCAGGAUCAGUUCCAACAACUAUUUCUGAGUUUAUAUCACAGAUCUACUUGGGCGACUGGAAAAAAAGGAAACGAAAUGUGGGAUGUUCACCUCGAUAAGCAAUCCCACAAGCAAGAAAAGCAGAGAAGUCUGCUCAGGAAACCAAAUGAAGAUCAAGCUGACUGGUGCUGAAGGGCAAAGUCUAGUUUUGAAACACACAGGAAGGAAAAUGUCAGUCUUACUGUAGACGAGCUAAAGAGGGACCUCCGUCCGGAGCACAUACGACCCCCGCCCUCAUGUUUCGGGGCAGUCGUGGAGACAAAGGUGCGGGCACACGCACGUUACGCACUCACGCAAUACACGCACGUUACGCACUCACGCAACGCACACACGUUACGCACACACGUUACGCACGCUGUCCGCUAGGGGAGGACACUCAGAGGAGUGGGUUCUCUGGGCAGCUGUCGUUUUCAAGGCCGUCUCCUCCCUUUCCUCCCCAUUUAAAAGAAAGGAGGUAAAAACAUUCUUUAAUGAAAUACAAUUUGCUAAAAGAACACAGUAAAAUGUAUGCAGAGAAAAAUAAAUAAAUAAAACGUGGCUUCACAGGCAACUCAAAGUACGAAAUCUGAGGACUAAACCCCACACUGGAGUUUUCUGUGACGGCAGAAAAGCUUCAAGGCUGUGCUUCCUUGGAGGAGCUCCCCGGGAAGCUGCGGUCCGGUCCCCCCAGCCAGCCAGUGGUGAGCAGUCUUGCCGGCUCUGGGCAUCAAAGCAGCGCCCAGCUCACUCUGCGUCCAACCUGCUCCUCACGAAACCUACCGACGGAUGAGCAAUCAAAGAGGGGAAAUGGAAAGAUGUGGAGUCAGAGGGGUUUCCCCGGUGGCAGAGUGGUGAAGGACCCGCCUGCCAAUGCACGAUACGCGGGUUUGAUCCCUGGGUCAGGAAGAUCCCCUGGAGGAGGGCAUAGCAACCCACGCCAGUAUUCUUGCCUAGAGACUCCCAUGGACAGAGGAGCCUGGUGGGCUGCAGUCCAUGGGGUCACAGAGAGUCGGACACAACUGAGCGACUAAGCGUGCACACACAUGAGGGUCCAUGCGCUCAGUCUGACCUGGAGGCUGUAGGUUGGCAAUAAUGAUGAAGUGGUUAAUGAUAAAGCCAGAGCAACUGAAUUGCCUUGAAUCUAAAACUAGCUAGGAGUGUGACCUCAGUGAACUUCCCGAGGCUUCUAUAUCCUCAUCAAGAAAACAAGGAC